rnacentral:rRNA from 1 species
UAAGGAAUAUUGGUCAAUGGAGGCAACUCUGAACCAGCCAUGCCGCGUGCAGGAUGAAGGCUCUAGGGUCGUAAACUGCUUUUAUACGAGAAGAAACCCCGUUACGUGUAACGGGCUGACGGUAUCGUAAGAAUAAGGACCGGCUAACUCCGUGCCAGCAGCCGCGGUAAUACGGAGGGUCCAAGCGUUAUCCGGAUUCAUUGGGUUUAAAGGGUGCGUAGGCGGAUUUAUAAGUCAGUGGUGAAAGCCUGCAGCUUAACUGUAGAAUUGCCAUUGAUACUGUUUAUCUUGAGUCUAGUUGAAGUGGGCGGAAUGUGUCAUGUAGCGGUGAAAUGCAUAGAUAUGACACAGAACACCGAUAGCGAAGGCAGCUCACUAAGCUAGUACUGACGCUGAGGCACGAAAGCGUGGGGAGCGAACAGG